CUUAAAAGAAGACGUGAUACUAUUUGAAAUAAAAUUAAAUUUAAAUUAAAAAUUGUAGGCAAUAUGUACAUAUAUUCGAAGACGAGACUCCACCUUAACAAAUUUGGUGUAUUGGAGCAUUGUAUAGAGUUAUGAAUGAAAUUUAAAAAACUUGUAAAAAAAUCGGAGAAGUCACACACUCAAACCACUAAAACUCCGCGUCCUCAUCACAACAUCACUUUUGGUGCACUUUCCAAAUUCCAAUAGUAAUUUCCGUUUUCAUUCAAAAUGUUUGGUUGCAUUAAUAAUGCGAGUGAACAACGUCAUUAUUUACGUACAAUAUAUUAUAUAUAUGUACAUACAUACAUAUGUAAUACAUAUUUACCACCUGCCUAACGAUAUUAUCUACAUUACACUGUAUUGUUAGUGACUUCAUAUCUUUGCUCUCUUUUGCGUUUUAGAAAUUCGCAUCAAUUGCGCAGUCAAUUAUUUGUUAGCAGACUGACUAGUCGGGGGUAUUACAUAUGGAGCACGUGAAUGAGCAUCACUGCAAUGUUGUACCGAGUCACUAACAAAACAAUAUCGAGAUCCGCAAUAUGCUCAUGUGAUAACAUAUAUUUGUGCAGAAAACUAUUUGGUGGUGUUUGGUUAAACGCCCGGGAAACCCUUUAGAACUCCAAAUAAUAUGAAAAUGAAUAUGGUAUUUAUUAAUUGAAAGAGCUUGCAGUAAAACACUGGUUGUGGCAUAUGGUGUAGGGUGAAUGAAAAGAGCAUUUGUAACACCGUUAUUAUAUUGGUUAAAAAUAAAUAAUUUAUUAUAGUAAAUAAGAUGCAUUUUUUUCUGUAUCAUUUUUAUUACCAUAAUUUAUUUAUAUUUAAUGCAAUAUGAUUACGACCAUGCUGGUAUUUAUUAAAGUUGAAGGAACUUGCGAACUUUAAUAAUGCAUCUCACAAUUUGGAAGGAUAUAUAAUUACAUGAACAUGGUUAGAAAUAUUUUACAAUGUGAUAUAAUAAAUACCUCAUUCUAAUAUAUAAUUUUACUACUUUUUUUCAUUAUUUAACGUAUUUUGACCUACCUUUAGCACGAUACUUCGUUCUAUUCGGAUACCGCCAAAUCGAGGCCAUAACUGCAUCUACUUUAGCACGGUGUCCGCAAAUAUUAAUGAAGUGUAAUUUAGAGUUGUUGUUGUUAAUGUUGUCACUGCAUAUGCUGUGCCAAUGUAAAAUGUGUAUGUCAAAACAUUCGUUUGACAAUAAGCGAAUUUAUAAUUGUUGAUUUUUAAUUUGCACUCUUCUAAUUAAACAUUUGCUUUGAUAUAACAUAAAAUUUCCAUAAUUCACUGCAAUAAGUAAACACUUUAACCGAUAUACUCAUAAAAAUAGAUCCGAAAACUACAUAGCCAAUCGAGGCGUGUCAUUUGUGUAGUAUGCGAAGCAGGCCGUAAAAUAUGCCUGUAACAUCUGAGUCAAAUAUUUGCUUUUAUUCAUCUGCGUACUUUCACUUUUCUAUCACAUAUUUUUUCACCAUCUCAAGUUUUUGAUAUUUUACCAAUUCACUGUUAUUAUUAACAGCGCAGAAAACUUCCGGAUGCAUUGUUGUUAUAUGUUGAAGGUGUAGCAACUAAAGAGUAAAAAAUGAAUGAAACAUUGGAAAAAUACAAAUGUAGUGCAAUUUAACCAUAUCUACUAUUUUCACUUGCACAUUCUCAUGCUCGUUUUGCGUAUUGCUUGCAUAUUUCCCAUCGCCUAGUAUCUACACAUUUCUACAAUGCAACAAUGUCUGGUGAUGUACCAGAAGAGUCCACAAUGAACAAUUUACUGUAGCAUCCACUACAUUUCUAUAUUCAUUCAGUAAUGUGAAAACUAUAUAGUACUACAAAAACGAGAGCGCAACUGUGAAGGAACCGAAAGAAAGUCGUGUGGUAACAUGGCAAGCAUCUAAAGCACCGUUUCACUUGCAACAUGCCAGAUGCCCGCAUAUGCAAUGCUUUUCGCAGCUCGAUAUCUUCAAAGGCGGCAGCAAUGAUAGUAUUGGAACUCGGUUUACAGCAAAUAAGAUGGUAAAUAGUAAAGUGGAAGAAACUAUGUACAGACGAAUAAGCAUAUACAUAUGCACACACAUAUGUAUAAAUAUGUUAUAUGCACAACUUUGGAAUAGAGGAAGCUUACUCAAUAUGAACCGAUAUAGGUACGGAAACGGAAAUGCUGUAAAUAUAUAUGUAUGUGCAUUGCCAAGACACCUAAGCUUAUCAAAAGAUUGAUUUAAACAAUUUCUAAAUAAGUAUAAUUGUUUUAAAUUGCUGAGAUAUGAAGAGUAUUUUUUGUAUUAUUGUUUAUAAUGACACUAGACACAUUAGUAUUAGUUUAGAAUACUAUAAAAGCAACGACGAAAUGCAAAUGCGAUUGUUCAUCCAAUGGAUAGACCUUGUUGCAGCUAUGGAUAGACCUUGAGAGAUUUAAAAUUUUUCAUAAUCACAACAAAAUCAUAAUGUAUCAUCAAUAUAAGCGAAAUUACAAUUCUCGGCCUUUAAAUACGUAUUAAUUUUUUUUUUUUGAAUGAAAACUAGUCCGCACACAUUGGCGCUUUUUUGUGCACAAUUUAUUUUCUCCAUUUAUCCAUCACCGAAAAUAUUUACAUAUAAAUAUAACAGAUGGCAACAUCAAGUAUUUUUAUAGCCAAACUCUCGCAUUAUGUCCGGCAAGGAAUAAAAUAGAGCGCACUCGCUUACUCACACUGCGAGUAAACUUUAGCCAAUGAUUUCUUUUGUUUCUAUUCGCAUGACAACGCCGACGUAAACGUUGUGUAUGGCGCGACGCCGACCGCGUCCACUAUGUACACUUUAACACUACACCGGCAGUACUACAUUUUCCACGCUACACUAUUCACUAUAUAUUCUCAAAUAAACAACAUACUUGAAUUCGUAAUAUUUUUAGCGAUCAACUGAUCAAUUUUCAUUUUUAAUGCCUGUCGUUGAAUAUUUCCAAUUAGCUGUUUCACUUGUGUUAUUUCGUCUUAUUCGUCAUUCAGAACAAUAAACUAGUCAGUGUCGCACCAAUUCACUACUCUUUAUGAUGACAUGAGGCAGCAUAGACGGCGUCUGCGACGGCGCGGGCGCUGCAAUGCCUAACGCCAUCCACAUUAACUUUUUCGAUAACAUUUCUACACUAUAUCGUCUUCUUUGGUGCGCUUCAAUUUCCACUGUUUUAUACGCUUCAAUCAUCAUAUUUUAUUAUCUCUCUUCCUUCUUUAUUCAUAUUGCACUUUAUCAUUCAAAAUACUAUUAAAAUAUUGAAAUACUCAUGGCCAUCACUUUUAAUAACCAACAAAGUUUAAGGCAUCACAUUGAUUUAAUAUAAUGCCAAUCUUUUUUACACUAAUUGCGCUUUCUAUACACAAUAGUUUUGCGCAUCAAUUAUUUUACACACAAUUUCACUCUACUUUUUUCGGCAUAUAGUGUAAUUUUUCAAAGACUCACGACAUCCCUCGGUAUGGAUCGACAGACACACUCGUUCCACUCACUCGCUCGUUUCCAUACGCUUUUUCUUAUUUCAAGAUGGAUUUUUAUUAGAUUCCUUAUAUUUACCGAACUCACCAAUAGGCUUUUGCUCACCACUUUAACAAAAAAAUAUUCCAAAUUCUUAUUUCGCAUUAAUU